rnacentral:rRNA from 1 species
GAUGAACGCUGGCGGCGUGCCUAAUACAUGCAAGUCGAGCGAACAGACGAGGAGCUUGCUCCUCUGACGUUAGCGGCGGACGGGUGAGUAACACGUGGAUAACCUACCUAUAAGACUGGGAUAACUUCGGGAAACCGGAGCUAAUACCGGAUAAUAUAUUGAACCGCAUGGUUCAAUAGUGAAAGACGGUUUUGCUGUCACUUCUAGAUGGAUCCGCGCCGCAUUAGCUAGUUGGUAAGGUAACGGCUUACCAAGGCAACGAUGCGUAGCCGACCUGAGAGGGUGAUCGGCCACACUGGAACUGAGACACGGUCCAGACUCCUAGGGGAGGCAGAAGUAGGGAAUCUACCGCAAUGGGCGAAAGCCUGACGGAGCAACGCAGCGUGAGUGAUGAAGGUCUGCGGAUCGUAAAACGCUGUUAUUAGGGAAGAACAAAUGUGUAAGUAACUAUGCGCGUCUUGACGGUACCUAAUCAGAAAGCCACGGCUAACUACGG